UAGGGAAUCUUCGGCAAUGGACGGAAGUCUGACCGAGCAACGCCGCGUGAGUGAAGAAGGUUUUCGGAUCGUAAAGCUCUGUUGUAAGAGAAGAACGAGUGUGAGAGUGGAAAGUUCACACUGUGACGGUAUCUUACCAGAAAGGGACGGCUAACUACGUGCCAGCAGCCGCGGUAAUACGUAGGUCCCGAGCGUUGUCCGGAUUUAUUGGGCGUAAAGCGAGCGCAGGCGGUUAGAUAAGUCUGAAGUUAAAGGCUGUGGCUUAACCAUAGUACGCUUUGGAAACUGUUUAACUUGAGUGCAGAAGGGGAGAGUGGAAUUCCAUGUGUAGCGGUGAAAUGCGUAGAUAUAUGGAGGAACACCGGUGGCGAAAGCGGCUCUCUGGUCUGUAACUGACGCUGAGGCUCGAAAGCGUGGGGAGCGAACAGGAUUAGAUACCCUGGUAGUCCACGCCGUAAACGAUGAGUGCUAGGUGUUAGGCCCUUUCCGGGGCUUAGUGCCGCAGCUAACGCAUUAAGCACUCCGCCUGGGGAGUACGACCGCAAGGUUG
rnacentral:rRNA from 1 species